rnacentral:rRNA from 1 species
ACGGAAGGCAGCAGUGGGGAAUAUUGCACAAUGGGGGAAACCCUGAUGCAGCGACGCCGCGUGAAGGAAGAAGUAUCUCGGUAUGUAAACUUCUAUCAGCAGGGAAGAUAAUGACGGUACCUGACUAAGAAGCCCCGGCUAACUACGUGCCAGCAGCCGCGGUAAUACGUAGGGGGCAAGCGUUAUCCGGAUUUACUGGGUGUAAAGGGAGCGUAGACGGAACGGCAAGUCUGAUGUGAAAGGCUGGGGCUCAACCCCGGGACUGCAUUGGAAACUGUCGGUCUUGAGUGCCGGAGGGGUAAGCGGAAUUCCUAGUGUAGCGGUGAAAUGCGUAGAUAUUAGGAGGAACACCAGUGGCGAAGGCGGCUUACUGGACUGUAACUGACGUUGAGGCUCGAAAGCGUGGGGAGCAAACAGGAUUAGAUACCCUGGUA